GACGAACGCUGGCGGCGUGCUUAACACAUGCAAGUGGUGCGACGAACCAGGCUUCGGCCUGGGGCAAAGCCGCGAACGGGUGAGUAACACGUGAGUAAUCUGCCCCGAUGACCGGGACAACCCGAGGAAACUCGGGCUAAUACCGGAUGAUGAGCCUUGGCAUAAGCCUUGUCUCUAAAGGAAGCUUCGGCCUCCGCAUCGGGAGGAGCUCGCGGCCCAUUAGCUAGUUGGUGGGGUAACGGCCUACCAAGGCGACGAUGGGUAGCUGGUCUGAGAGGACGAUCAGCCACACUGGGACUGAGACACGGCCCAGACUCCUACGGGAGGCAGCAGUGGGGAAUCUUGCGCAAUGCGCGAAAGCGUGACGCAGCAACGCCGCGUGGGGGAAGAAGGCCUUCGGGUUGUAAACCCCUUUCAGUUGGGACGAAGCUUCGCCGGUGAAUAGCCGGCUGGAGUGACGGUACCUUCACAAGAAGCCCCGGCUAACUACGUGCCAGCCGCCGCCGUAAAAC
rnacentral:rRNA from 1 species